rnacentral:rRNA from 1 species
GACGAACGCUGGCGGCGUGCUUAACACAUGCAAGUCGAACGAAGUGGCGAACGGGUGAGUAACGCGUAAUCAACCUGCCCUUAAGAGGGGGACAACAGUUGGACACGACUGCUAAUACCGCAUAAUGAAGGAGGGGAUUGAGUCUGAUGAGCUAGUUGGGGGGGUAACGGCCUACCAAGGCGAUGAUCAGUCGCCGGGCUGAGAGGAUGAACGGCCACAUUGGGACUGAGAAACGUCCCAGACUCCUACGGGAGGCAGCAGUGGGGAAGCUUCCGCAAUGGACGAAAGUCUGACGGAGCAACGCCGCGUGAGUGAUGACGGCCUUCGGGUUGUAAAGCUCUGUUAAUCGGGACGCGGUACCGGAAUAGAAAGCCACGGCUAACUACGUGCCAGCAGCCGCGGUAAUUC